UACGGAGGGAGCUAGCGUUAUUCGGAAUUACUGGGCGUAAAGCGCACGUAGGCGGCUUUGUAAGUUAGAGGUGAAAGCCCGGGGCUCAACCCCGGAACUGCCUUUAAGACUGCAUCGCUUGAAUCCAGGAGAGGUGAGUGGAAUUCCGAGUGUAGAGGUGAAAUUCGUAGAUAUUCGGAAGAACACCAGUGGCGAAGGCGGCUCACUGGAGCUGGUAUUGACGCUGAUGUGCGAAAGCGUGGGGAGCAAACAGG
rnacentral:rRNA from 1 species